AGGUAAGGGUCCUCCUUCUCUUCAAAGGUAAUCAACGGUCGUCUUGUGUCCUUACCAUUGGGCAUGAUUGACACCACCAGUUUAGGAUAAGCAAUGUUGGAGCAGCCGACUUCAGUCCCACACACCUUCUUACACACUUCAGGGACGACACAGCCAACCUCAUCUACAGUUGGAUGUGGAAGGACAAGUGCAAGCCACAGACCCGGGUAGAGGACCCUGCUGAUCAUGCCGGGGAAAACCAUGAGGAACAUAGGCAGCAGUUUGAGCUGCUAGGGAGGAACAAAGACGAGGGCCUGGGUGGACUGACAGAAGCCAAAAACGUGAACUAUGUGUAGUGUUGUGCAAAAGAUAAUAAGAAUUAAA